AGAGAUGGCGAACCUUGAGCUCAGCGUGUCAGCAUUUUGAAAAACCCUAACUUAACUCUGGUGCCGUGUCACAUAUAGAAAUUUUUUGAUAUUUGCAACCAUAGUAAAACAAAGAUAUAUUUUUGAUAUUUAUUUUAUAUAUUUAAAUGCCAUUUAACAAAGAAAAAUCAACCAAAAAAAUGAGUUUGCGUGUCACCUCUGACACACGUGUCAUAGGUUCGCCAUCACUGUCCUAGCCUCUAGGCCAGCAGCAGUGUAGGUCAGUCUUAAUGUCCCUACAGAAAACCUAACAAGCCCAUUGGCCUGCCACUCUGCGGGAGGCUGCUGGUCUUGGUGACGGGGGGGCUUUUGGGUCCCUGAGCUGGUUGCCCCUUACCAACUCUGCUAGGAUUCUAGGGUCCCCUUUCUGCCUCAGUCAGUAGCUUUCUUACUCCACAUUCCCCUUGAGGGCACAUGUAAUCUACCUUCUAAAAAGGAGUCAAGAGGCCCAGAUACUUUAGUCCAGCCUAAAACAGGCAAUUGUCAGAAUGGUUUUCAGUUGAAGACUUGAGCAGCAAGGUUGGUCACACAUGGUAACUGAAUUGACAAUAUGUAGAAUCUCAGCACAGAGAAUAUUUUAGUUCAACUGUUCCCAACUAAUUUCAAAUUCGUGCCCUGGCUAUCUGAAUCUAGCAUGUGCACCUGGGAGGAUUGUUUUCAUUGGUCAAGGAUGUUAGUUGCAAAAAAAAAAAAAAAAAAAGUUUGCCCAAAACUUGUCAAAUUAUGAAUGACGGCCAGGCCCAGACCUCAGAGGCCUGCUGCUCAGUCCAACUCUGGGCCUGACUGGAACACAGGCAGGUAUGGAAGGACGAAACAGCUGACCAGUGUGUUGCUUCUAAAGUCACCCAAAACCCAUUAGAGUGGAGGGAUGCUUCAAAGUCUGAAACCAGCCUGUCUGCUGCUCUGCAUAGUCCAGGGCCCAGCCCUGGAACAGGUUCAUUUGUGAACUGAGUUUUAGAAACUACUUUGUGUCACGAAAGCAGAGCCACUCAUCCCAAAAGGGUGGCCCAUGGUGAACGGGCCUGACACUGCCCAGUCCAGCUGAGACAAGAGCAUCAGACCACUGGGGCAGGCCUGUCGGGUGUGAUGGGGUUCAGGCAGAGUCAACAGGACCACUUACUUUCAAAGCAGAGAAGAUUUUAAAGUUUGCGUGUUUAUUUUAAUUACAAUAUACAUUACUCCAACAGAGCAGCCCCACUGCUACAUUCUAAUUCUUAGCCAUUAAGUCCUACAAAAAUAAACCAAGCUUUUACAGAAACUUAAUACAGAACCGAAAUCUUUAUAGCUGUCUAGGGACUUAGUUACCAAGGUGCUUAUGUUCACCAAGAUGCCCUGUCUUCAGGGGGGGGAGCAUGCUUGUACUAAGGUGACCCAUUUACUCAUGCAACAGUUUACAUCCCACCUCCCUCCACCCACCUACAAAACAAACACAACUAUUUACAACUCGCUGUCAGCCGAGCUUGCAAAAAAGACUGGCUCAUUUCCAAGUGGAUGAGACUCGAACAGUGGUCCGAGUCCAACACUGACUGGCAGGACAGAGAGGAUGGGUAUGCCACCCCAAUCCUGACUCCUAUAGAAGCCAGGCUCUGAGUAACAGCUCCCAGCUCAUGUUCAGGACCCUUCUGUGCCUCCAAGAGUGCCAGCCUGCCAGUCCCAACCUCAACACCACCACCCUGGACAUCAGGUGGUCUGCUGCUCACACAUGAUCUGCGGGAACUCCACUUUCCCUGCUGGGGCCCACGCGACCCCACACCCCCUGGGGUGGCCCUGCCUUGCUCCUGAGGCCCACCAGUGGCAGUGGGGGUACCAGGCCAGCAGCAUGAGCGCCAGCUGGGUGACAGCUGUGCCUGGCUGCCACAUGGUCCACUUUAAAAGUCAAAGUUGUCCCCCCAAAAUUUUUUUUUUCAAAGUGAAGAUCAAGCUUUCGCUCUAGAAAAC